GACUUCUGGUUUAAUGUGCCUGGCCCGCGGCUCUUUAGGCUUGUGUGUGCCGGUGCGCGUUUACCAUCCUUCUGGGGAACGGGUCUACUCUUAACUGAGCCGGAUUCGGGAUCCAGAUCAUUUACUUUGAAAAAAUUAGAGUGUUUAAAGCAGGCUAUUGCUAUGAAUACAUUAGCAUGGAAUAAUAAUCUAGGACUUCGGUUCUAUUUUGUUGGUUUCUAGGACUGAAGUAAUGAUUGAUAGGGAUAGUUGGGGGUGCUAGUAUUCAGCGGCCAGAGGUGAAAUUCUCGGAUUCGCUGAAGACUAACUUAUGCGAAAGCAUU
rnacentral:rRNA from 1 species